rnacentral:rRNA from 1 species
AUUGAACGCUGGCGGAAUGCUUUACACAUGCAAGUCGAACGGCAGCACGGGGCAACCUGGUGGCGAGUGGCGAACGGGUGAGUAAUACAUCGGAACGUGCCCAAUCGUGGGGGAUAACGUAGCGAAAGUUACGCUAAUACCGCAUACGAUCUACGGAUGAAAGCGGGGGAUCGCAAGACCUCGCGCGAAUGGAGCGGCCGAUGUCAGAUUAGGUAGUUGGUGGGGUAAAGGCUCACCAAGCCAACGAUCUGUAGCUGGUCUGAGAGGACGACCAGCCACACUGGAACUGAGACACGGUCCAGACUCCUACGGGAGGCAGCAGUGGGGAAUUUUGGACAAUGGGCGCAAGCCUGAUCCAGCCAUUCCGCGUGCAGGAUGAAGGCCUUCGGGUUGUAAACUGCUUUUGUACGGUAACGAAACGGUACUGCCCUAAUACGGCGGGCUAAUGACGGUACCGUAAGAAUAAGCACCGGCUAACUACGUGCCAGCAGCCGCGGUAAAGCUACGU